CACUAAAGCGAACCCAUUUACUCUCCCUCUUCGACGUCUUCGUUUUCUCGCUUUCCCUCAUCCAUCGUACGACGUACUGCAAGUCGCGACUCAGAGGCCGAGAGCUCGCCGGCGAAUUCCUGUCUUUUUCCGAGCACUCCUUCUCCUUCCGCCAUCAGUCGCCGCAGCCACUGCCGUCAUCGCCGUCUUUGCCGUCCGCGGAAAGCGAUUGCGCUUUGAUUGGGCGAAUCUGCAGUCUUUUUUAGAUCUCCGUCGCUCUCGUCCGGCGCAGUUCAGUCGCAAACCUAAGCCGUUUUCGUAACAGCCGGGACGAGGAAGAGGCAGAGGCAGAUACCAAUCCGAGGGCCUAAGGGGACGCCUGGGUGGUCAGAGUUUGGGCAGGGGAAGCAACCUGGAUAAUGACUACAGCCGUCCGAGGGGCAAUGGCUCCUACUUCCGUGGUUCGCAAUGAGUUAUUCGUUCGACCUUUUCAAACCGUUAUAGCUAUGGCCAAAGGCUCGUUAGGUUGCUAUGGGUGAUUCCAUGUACGAUGGUUUCCUGAAGUCGUGGUCUGUGCUUCUUGAGGUGUGUUUCUUCCUUUUUGGCAUGAUUAGAUUGUUAGGACCCAAGGACACCAAAGGCGUUUGGUGGAUCAAGUCCAUUCUAGGAAGAUAGGGGGAACUCGAUUUCACAUCCAGCUUGAUGAAGAUGAUGCAGCAAAGGCUUCAUGGAGUUCUGAGUACAUAUGAGUUUUCAUAAAUAAUCAGCAUAUGCUGUACCCCUGUUUUAAGUUAGAUUGAAAUCUUUUAGUCUCGAGACUACCAUGCGUUUGUUUUGUUUGAUGUAUAUUUUGCUUAUGUUGUGUGCGGAUAUUGUAUCAAUGAUGAGAGAUUGGCAAUGAAUAGGAGCUGUUCAAUUAUGAGAUCA